rnacentral:rRNA from 1 species
UACGUAGGUGGCAAGCGUUAUCCGGAUUUACUGGGCGUAAAGCGCACGCAGGUGGUUACUUAAGUCUGAUGUGAAAGCUCCUGGCUUAACUGGGAGAGGUCGUUGGAAACUGGGUAACUUGAGGUGAUGAGAGGGAUGUGGAAUUCCGGGUGUAGUGGUGGAAUGCGUAGAUAUCCGGGGGAACACCAGUGGCGAAAGCG